GCCGUGUUGAGACACUCGUUGUCGUGGACUCGUAAGUCGUUGCGGAACCAAACGAUGGAAGCUCGACGAAUUGCGGCGCCAUUGGAAGGAUCGAGAGGGCGGCGUGGGCCUAAGGAGAGAGGGGAUUGGAGAGGGUUGUUGGAAAGGGUGGAUUUGAAGGAGAUUUUGGAAGGUGAAGGGGAAGUUGAAGAAAGAGAGAGAUGGGAAAGAGAGGAAGCUUGCGUUGGAACUUUAACUUUAUCGGGUGAUUGAGAAGAGAACAGAGAUGAGAUUUUAGGAUGAGUGAAGAAAUGGGUAGGCAGAGUUGUGGGCAAGGA
rnacentral:lncRNA from 1 species